GUGGAUUAGAUACCCUGGUAGUCCACGCAGUAAACGAUGAUUACUCGCUGUUUGCGAUAUACAGUAAGCGGCUUAGCGAAAGCGUUAAGUAAUCCACCUGGGGAGUACGUUCGCAAGAAUGAAACUCAAAGGAAUUGACGGGGGCCCGCACAAGCGGAGGAACAUGUGGUUUAAUUCGAUGAUACGCGAGGAACCUUACCCGGGCUUGAAAUGCAUCUGACAGGGGCAGAGACGCCCUCUUCCUUCGGGACAGAUGUGUAGGUGCUGCAUGGCUGUCGACAGCU
rnacentral:rRNA from 1 species